ACAACACAAUAAAAGGUGGAGAUGUCAGAUUUUAGAAGGGGCCUAAUUAUUGGCCACUUUUCUCUUCAAAAAAAUGGGCAGCCGCCCAAGCUUUCUUUGUUCUCUCUCAAGCGUGCGGACGACACUGGCCAAAGUCCGGACACACCAUGGACUGCGACCACUCUCCCAAAAACCCCCCACUCUCUCUUCUCUUUCAUUUGUUUCCCCUACAUCACUGACCAACACUGGCGAAGAGUAGUAGCGGACGACGAUGAUGCCAGACAAGUAAAAGCUUGAGAUCUGCCGGUAAAAGCUCCGGUCAGAUUACUGCUGCUCCAUUUUCUCCCAUUCUCCCCAUUUCUUCUUUCAUUUUGUCCAUGGGUUAAUCCCAGAUCCAUGAAGAUCUGUGUCCCAAAAAUGUUUCCCAGAUAAUGCUGAGUUGUAGCUGCUCGUUUGUUGCUCUGCUAUGGUCGUUCCGGCGUUAACGUCGUUGUGGCAACGCCCUUGGCUCAGCCGCUGUAUAAGCAGUGAUUGUUUUCUAUGCGGCAUGUGUUGCUGCCUUUGUUUGUGGUUGGGUAGAGCUUUUUUCCGGCGACCUUCCAUCUCUACCCAGACAUAAAUUUCUGGCGACCUUUAGUUUGGCCGGAAAAUUGGCCAGCGACUUUGUUUGUACUUUAGUGUUGUUUCGGUGUUUAUCGCCAUGGUAGCAACUCCGUCUCCGGACGUUAAUUGUGGUGGCCGUCCGUCUGCUUUGCCGUCAAUGCUCGGGAACUUGUUUCCACAUAUAGCAGCAUUUUGGACCUUAACUUUGAGAUUCAUAUGGUAACACCUUUGUUACUGUUGGUUGUUUUACCUAUGGUGCCUCAUUUGGUUGUUUUACCUGUGGUAACACCUUUGUUACUGUUGGUUGUUUUACAUAUGGUGCCUCAUUUGGGAAAAGGAUGCUUGGUUACUGUGCUGUACAUGUUGAACGAUAUUACACUGUUGAUUUUGAGGCCGAUGAAAAAAUAACCUCUUGAGUUAUUUAGGCCACAACCUUUCGAUUGUCCCUCCGAGCCGUAUCCGAAAUAACGAGGCGGCGAUGAUAAACAUCGGAAAGGUAAAGACAAGAACGUGAUAAACAAAUAACCUUUGGACAACGAUGAGUUGAGCUACUGUAAUCGCACAGCGGUUCCCGUUCUCGUAUCUAGAAGAAAAUCAAAAUACAUCCGAGCCUCAAAAUAAUUUUUCGAGUGUGUUUCAAAAAUGUUUUAGAAUUUGGACUUGUUUCAAAAAUGUUUCAAAAUGUUUCGAGUGUGUUGCAAAUGCGAGCACCAGUUCACAUUUGUGAAUACCACAUUUUUGAAGGAGCUAUCGCAUUUGUGAAGGGGGGAAAAUGGAUGUCAGGCUUCGCAAAUGCGGAAUGGGUCUGGGCUGGGGACAUGUCGCUUUUACGAAGGGGCUGACAUCACAUUUGAUAUGUUUAGGUUGCUAUUGCGAUAUCCCUGGGGUCUGACAGGGUUCGCUUUUGCGAUCCUUGUGUCGCAUUUGCGAACCUCAAGUUGCAAAUGCGACAUCUACGACUAGGUUAAAAGAUUGAAUUUCGGGACUUAGUUUCAUUUUAUCAAAUUUUGAGCCCUAGAUUCGGUGGGAGGCAAUUUUAGGAGGGAAUUUUCAUACAAAGCUAUUCGGUAAGUGAUAUUGACUCAAUUUUGAUAUUAUAACAUGAUUAUUUAUGAAUUUUAACAUCAAAAUCAUGAAAUUUGAAAGGAUAUUUUGGGGAUCUUUGAUUAUGUUUUGAAAAAUAAAAAUUUGAGAUUUGAGAAUCGAUUUGGACUCGGAUUUGAAAAUCAAACAUAUAUUUGGACUCGUAGGGUUGUGGAUAGUCGAGAUCUACCUCUCGACUCGGGUUUUGAUCGGGCAGACCCGGGGUUGACCUUUAUUGAAUUUUUUGAAAAUGUGUAAAGAUAUUAAUUUUAUCAAUUGAAAUUGUUUUCUCUUGUAUCGUUUGAUAUUAUUAAGUCGUUUUUGUUAGAUUUGAGACGUGCGGAGGUGAAUUUGAAAUCAAAAGCAGUUUUAGAGUAUUGAUCGGGGCUAUUUGAGAUUCGCACAUCGGUACCAGCGAAGUCCCGAGAGGUUCUUAGCGGAUAUCGGGCAGGUGAUUCGAGGUAGAGCUGCAUUCCAUUCGUAGGCCUAAGAGUCAUCUUCUUAUUUCUAUUGUAAUGUUUCUAUCUUUCGUACAAUGUUGCGCUUCUUUCAAGACAAUGUAUUUAGUAACUCUAGAAGCUCAUGUUCGCACAUCUUGGGAUGGUUUGCGUUAGAUGUUGGUUUUAGACUUAUCAUGUUUAUUUCAGAAUUACUUUUACGCUAUGUUAGUAUCCUGUUGUUAGGCAUUUAUUGCAGUUCUUUUGUAUUUUACUGCUGUGUGUUGGCUUGCCUAUCAAGCGGUGUUAGGCGCCAUCACAACUCCGAUUGAUUGGAAUUUUGGGUUGUGACAGUUCCUUUGAAAAGCUCAAACAAGUAUACGACACGUGAGAAAACACAUGGAAGCCUGACAAUUCAAUUUUGGCGCAUAACAUUGAAGGGUAGAAUUGUCCAUACGAUCUUGAACUGAUAUAAAAUCUUCUUACCUGUUUUUCAGCUCCCAUCUCGACUUCGAAAAGAAGAGACUCCAUUGUUGACGCAAAGGCAAGGUAGGAAGAGUAACACAAGAUUAAAGAGCUUUUCCUGGAUUUUUCUUCUUUUAUGGGUUCUACUUUAUUUUAUACAUUGGAUUUUAUCUCUAGAACGAUUGUAGGAUAAUUUUCCAUUACUAGGAUUUUGAUGAACCCUUUGUUGAGAGAGUUUGAAUAACUCGUUUGAAUUCUUGAUAUCAUAUUCUAUUUAUUUGACUGCACCUUUAUUGAA